GACGAACGCUGGCGGCGUGCCUAAUACAUGCAAGUAGAACGCUGAAGGAGGAGCUUGCUUCUCUGGAUGAGUUGCGAACGGGUGAGUAACGCGUAGGUAACCUGCCUGGUAGCGGGGGAUAACUAUUGGAAACGAUAGCUAAUACCGCAUAAUAGUAGAUGUUGCAUGACAUUUGCUUAAAAGGUGCAAUUGCAUCACUACCAGAUGGACCUGCGUUGUAUUAGCUAGUUGGUGGGGUAACGGCUCACCAAGGCGACGAUACAUAGCCGACCUGAGAGGGUGAUCGGCCAGACUGGGACUGAGACACGGCCCAGACUCCUACGGGAGGCAGCAGUAGGGAAUCUUCGGCAAUGGACGGAAGUCUGACCGAGCAACGCCGCGUGAGUGAAGAAGGUUUUCGGAUCGUAAAGCUCUGUUGUAAGAGAAGAACGAGUGUGAGAGUGGAAAGUUCACACUGUGACGGUAUCUUACCAGAAAGGGACGGCUAACUACGUG
rnacentral:rRNA from 1 species